CUGGGAGGGAUUGCAGGGCACACAAGACUCUGAAAGCUGUCAAAGAAGACUCCCUGCUGCGUGACGCGUGGCGUAAUGACAAAGGGUUACUCUAGAGGAGGUAUGUGCCUGUAGAGCAAAGUGUUAAAGGAAUAAUUUGGAGUUUGGACACACCUUUUGAUACUUUUUGAAGCAGAUGACGCCGCUGCUUUCUUUUGCUUCUUUUAAUAGAUGGCAUACUUUAAUUUAACUUGACUGCAGCAUAACCAAAAAUUUCACAGCAGUGAGGGGCGCAGCCUGGAAAGAAUAAUAAGAUGAAAAAACGUGAAUUAGAAAGUUUGGCACUUUUUUGAAUUUAUUUCGUUUUCUCUGGAGAAAGAAGAAAAUGUUGUUUUUGCAACAGUUUUUGACUAAAAUGGGAAGUCCACUCCUGACGAAGGAGAAAUGUCGCAUAUGAAAGACAGAAAGACGCAGCUGCGCGUCAUUAUCCUGAUCAUCCAGAUCAGGAAAAUGUGUCAUCUAACACGGAGAAUAAACACUGUGAACAGUUUAAUGUUUGGUAAGGGAUUUGUAAAGGAAGUCGAAAGAAACACGGUGAAUUUAAAGCUUUACAUGCUAAAAUGUUGGAUGAAGAUAGAAGAAAGCAACCCAAACUUGCGCAGAUUUAGCUUUAUUUUUUAAUAUAAAGAAAUGUAAAGAUGAAGCAGAAAACCUCUGUUGAUUUAACUGAAGUACCUCCCGAUACAAGAGGUCAAAUGUGAAAACGAGUCUGAGUGAUGCUAAUAGGCAUAAAAUUAGGUGUAGUGCGCCAAGGGCUUUAACUAACUUGUUAGGCAUCCGUAUAGAUGCAAAGAGGUUGGCCAACCACAAAAUCUGACGGGUCACUUAUUGAAGACCCAAAGAGUACUUGUAGCACAGGGAUUUUUUUCCAAACUAUACCCAUUGAAUAUGAACCAUGGAGCUCAGGAGCAGUUGAAUUCUUUCAUAAUUUGAACAACCCAACUUCAAAAGAGUCUAAAAUGCCAUGUUCUCGUUGUGUUACAGCAGUAGCUAUAUUGCAGAGGAAGCCCUUGACAGGAUAGACUGGCCUUGGCCAAAAGAUUUUAAAUUUGGUAAAAUCCUUUUUUACUGUAUCGUGUCUUAUAGUGAAAUCAACAGUAUUUAUCAAAACCUCUUUUCCCUAACCUAAUUCCAGAAUAGACAGCAUUGAAACAAGAGGGUAUGAUUUCAAAUCAAUGCAGACAGCAUUUUAUCGAGCCCUGAUAGAAGUCCUGUUCAGUUGAUUUCGUCUGUAAUGAGGCUCAUCAACACAUUCAGCAUUUUUUUCAGAUCAUGAAAUAAACUGGAGUAAAUGUGAUGCAACUUCUUAAUACUGUGGCUGCUGGUGACAGUGCACCUAUUUGGAAUACCUAGAUAUCCUAAUUAUAGCCCCUAUAUCAAAAAUUUGUAAACUGAAUGCAUGCCCCAGAUUUAUUAUCAGUGGUGAAAUAACUCGCUCGUAGCGGACAUAGUUUGGCGAUGCACAUGGGGAAGUAACAGUCCAAUCCAAAGUCAAAAAAACAAAAUCCAAUCCAACCAGGCCGAAGUAUAGAGUCAAAGUGCAAAAUCCAAAACAGAGAACAGGCAGAGGUCAAAAUACCAGCAGGCGAGAUACACACAAAGACUGGAACAAAGCAGGCAGGAGCACAAACAACAAACUGGCAACAACAGCUCAGACUGACUGGUUUAAAUACUGGCAGGUGAUUAGCAAACAGGUUACAGGUGUGAGCAGGAGGGUGUAGUUUAGGAGAAGCAAGCAGCUCCAGCAGAGUCCAUGACAAUGCAAUUGUGCGAUCUAAUGACAUUUCUCAUUCGACAUUCUCCUUUACCCAAUGAAUCAGACUCAAACUGUGUCAUCAGAGAUUGUAGUUUCAGCAUUGGAUAGUGGCAACUUUUUUAUCAUCACCUGAAGUCUUCACUCAGAGGGAAAUACCAACCACUGCCAACAGCAUCCUCAGGCAAGAAAGUCUGGCAUAGUGGGAAUCUCUCAGUAUGGUAAAACUUUCCAGAAUCAGCACAAAGGUGGAGUUAUUAAUAGACACAUGAUGCUCUAAGACUAUUAGAGCCAUGGGAGAUUAUUAAUAGCCAUGGAGAGGUCCUUCGAAGCAGCAGUGAUAGCAGAGCAGCAUGUAUGUAUUACAGAUUAUCAGUGGGAAGUUUAGAGGAGCUUUGGAUGUGCCUGUAUAACCUGGUCUUCAGUGUGGUAGCGUCUGAGGGGAAGAUAGGGCUGCCACUUGAGGACAAAAGGUUUACACAGAUAGCUGAUGAGGGAGUCCUACAAGAUGGACACCACCAUUUGAAGUUACUUUUCAGGAAAGGGAAUACUAACAUGCCAAUCUACCACAAAGUGGCAGGACAGCACCUCCAGAGCCUGAGAAACAAAAUGCAAAAAGACCAACAUCAACAAAACUAUGUGACAUUUCUCAGUGACAUCAGUCAGUCACCUGGAAAGACUCAAUACAUCAUCAAAGGAAGUAAGAACCCCGGAUCUGGACAAGGAUAGAAAGGUUAUUGGGACAACACUGGUGUGCGGAUUGUGACCAUCUCAAAUUUAGCAACCCAAAGAGGUAUGCUUCCAGUUGUAUGUUCAUUCUUUAUCCGCUUGGAUUUCUUGCCCCUCUCAGUCUGCCAGCUUAACAGUUGUUACAGGAGCUCUGCCAGAGAGGCUUUGGAUGGGAUGAUCUCUUGCCCCAAAGUUAUAUCUGCUCAAUGAACAGUAUGGAUGGGAAGACCUUCAACACUGCAUUGUGUAUGAAGUUGAAGAACUGUUAAACACUAACAUAUGCACAACUGCAUCACUUUGCCAAUGCAAGUGAGAGUGACUGUGGAUCAGUUAGCUCUUCAUUUGCAGCUUCACUUUUAUUGAAGGUGGACAUGAUGCUGAGGAAAGAAUUACACCUUGAGCUGAGACCCCCAGUCUUCUGGACAGACAGCCAAACUUGCCUAGGUAUGAAGAAAAUCACCAUGCCAGGUUUGAAACCUAUGCAGCCACCAAAGUGUCACUGAUCUGUGAAAAUACAGAACUUUACAGUUGAGAUAUGUCAGCAGAGACAGCCCUGCUAAUGAUGCCCCAAGAGGGCUGAGGGUAGUGAAAUUCAUUGAGCGAGGCAGAUGGAUUCAUGCCUCCAAGUUUCCAUGGGGGCUGGAGGGGGUUUGUGGAGACAGUGCUAAAAACGGUGUUGCAGGAUGAUGGAGAGAUUGGAAAAAAUCCAUUCUGUGAUUGCUGUGGUGGUAAAAGACACAGCAACUCCGAUAGACCAGCUUGUUUAUUUCUUCUCAGAUUGGAUGAGAUCACUCAAGGUAGUGUCUUGGUGUCUAAAAAUGAAGAGUUUGGGAAUUUAACUAUCAGAAAGAGAAAGGAGCCUUCUCUAGCUCCCAUGAAUACUUGUUCAUCUAGCCGAAAGGUGAGUACUGAACUUGAAAAUCAGGACCACACUGACUGGAUAGUUCUUCACAGUAGAGGAUCUCACUCUGGCAGAAAGGCCAGUUAUCUCCUAUAUGCUUCAAAAACCCAAAGAUGUGUUGGAUCUCAUACCUUACAGUAGUUAGGGUACCUCUGGCUUGCACAUGGAGGCCUGUGCAGCCUUCCAAGGAUAUGCCUCCCAAGACCAUCACUGACCCACUGCCAAACCAGUCACGCUGGAGGACGUGUCAGAUAGCACAAUGUUCUCCUAAGUGUCUCCUGACUCGUUCCCAUCUAUCACAUGUGCUCUGUGUGAACUUGCCCUCAUCUGUGAAGAGAACAGGCAUCAAUGGCGAGCCUGUCACUUCUGGUGUUCUGUGGCGAAUGCCAAUCAGGCUGCAUGGUUCCACGCUGUGAGUACAGGCUUCACUUGUGGAUUUGGGGCCCUCAUGCAACAUUCAUGGAGUCUGUUCCUGACAGUUAAGUCAGAAAUAUGUACAUGAGUGGUCUGUUGGGGGUCACUUUGUAGGGCUCCCCUUGUUCCUCCUUGUAUAAUGGAGCAGAUAGUGGUCUUGCUGCUGGGUUAUUGGCCUCCUAUGGCCCCACUGUAGACACCACCUCAUGCUGCCACGAGUGGCGAUGGCAUAGAGCUCGCCAAUAAUCAGCCACACAGGAGGAGUUGAGGGAAAUGGUCAUUGCACAACAGCAGGUAAAAUUCAUUCACAAUCAUAGCAGCUUCCUUGGCAGGUCUUUACACCAGAAGUACCACAUACAUGGAAAUGCUGGUUGUUAUGGUGCAUAAGCACCCAAACAGUUACAAAAAAGUACUUUAAAAGAAACUAUGAAGGCUUCAUGAACUGUUUUCUUGAACACUGGGACACCAUGGCUAUGUCCAAGAUCACCCCUGACUUACUUUAUAGUGGAAACACCAUUUUGUAUUGCUGUGUGAACUCUGAGUGAAAAUUCAUGUACCCUAUAUAGUGGACUUGUUGUUUCCUGCAAUGCAUACUGAAAAGUAGUGUAUGACGACUAAUGGUCUCUAACUGAGCAAUAUAUCACAUCAUGUAUUGUGGUGAGAACAGAAAUGGCGGAUGGAUAAAAGCUUUUAUUCUCAAACGGGAAUUUAAACUGUUGAGCACUUCACAAAUAAUUUGAAGCAGCACAUUUCGAUGACUAAAAAGAUAUGAGAAACAAACUGACUGGAAAAUAAACACACAAAAAUUUAAUAGCUUGAAAUCAAUCUCAAUAAAAUCAAGCAAAAAUCAAUGAUAUAAUAGAAGUGCAAUCAGCUCCCUUCCUCCCUUUCAUAUAAUUAGUAAGUAUCUAUAUUUAUAAAAAGAUGCCCUUAUACUGCCAACUUCAAAAAAUGUUUUAGGAGUUAAAGAAAUUCACAUUUAAGUCAGUAAUCUGCUGAUUUUAUAGUCCAUAGUAUGGACUACAGAGUAAGAUUGAGAGAUUAAUUUUAGUUUUUUUAGUUGAACCUCAAUAAUCCAACUUUAUUUUUUUUCUAUUCCCUUUUCUUUCUUUUGCUGCUAGAGGGCAGCCUUUCACUUCAGAUCUGGAACAACAGCAGCAGUGAUUUGGUGUACCCUCUGCCUGACCCCUGGUGCUGUAAUCAGAAGGAGGUGGCAAGGAGGGAGGAGAUAAAGAGGGAAGGAACUGUGCCCUCUAAACAUCCAGUGGACAGAUGUUAGAAGAGGAGUUAUCUGCUUAAGGACUGAUCAGCCAGACUUACAGAGCUCAGCCUCCUUUUGAUGGCCUCA
rnacentral:lncRNA from 1 species